GUGCUCGCUUCGGCAGCACAUAUACUAAAAUUGGAACAAUACAGAGAUUAGCAUGGCUCCUGUGCAAAGAUGACCCGCAA
rnacentral:snRNA from 1 species